AUUGAACGCUGGCUGCAGGCCUAACACAUGCAAGUCGAGCGGAGCGGCGGACGGGUGCGUAAUUCCUAGGCAUCUGCCUGGUCGUGGGGGUUAUCGUCCGGAACCGGGCGCUAAUACCGCAUACUAUCAGAUGAGCCUAGGUCGGCUUAGCUAGUUGGGGGGGUAAGGGCCUACCAAGGCGACGAUCCGUAACUGGUCUGAGAGGAUGAGCAGUCACACUGGAACUGAGACACGGUCCAGACUCCUACGGGAGGCAGCAGUGGGGAAUAGUGGACAAUGGGAGAAAGCCUGAGCCAGACAUGCCGCGUGUGUGAAGAAGGUCUUCGGAUUGUAAAGCACUUUAAGUUGGGAGGCGUUACCAAAAGAAUAAGCACCGGCUAACUUCGUGCCAGCAGCCGCGGUAAUUC
rnacentral:rRNA from 1 species